GCCGAUGUGGUGGAAUUGGUAGACACGCCGUCUUGAGGGGGCGGUGGCGAAAGCCGUGAGAGUUCGAGUCUCUCCGUCGGCACCA
rnacentral:tRNA from 1 species